GAUAGUUUGAAUGCUUCAGUUUUCAAAAACAGAAAAAAAUUCCCUAUACAGGCCCAGGUACCCAUCGCUUCUCUGUGUGCUGGAAGAACUACAAAGAAUGAGAUGAGUCAUUGGUGUUUGGACAAUGUCUCCACCUAGAAACAAAGAUGAAGACUAUUACAUUUUAAAACACACAUUUCCUUCACUGGAUGCUUUAUGCAGAAAAGCUGAGCCUGCAGGAUAUGAACCAGAUGGAGAAAAAGUUUGAAAUGCAUACCUGGAAAACUGAAGAUGACAAAAAUCUUGCCUUCAAAACUACUCAAAAGUGGAUGUGUGAAAGGUACUAUUCCUAUGACCUGUUUAUAAAGCUAGAAAG
rnacentral:lncRNA from 1 species